UACGUAGGGACCAAGCGUUGUUCGGAUUUACUGGGCGUAAAGGGCGCGUAGGCGGCAAUUCAAGUCAUCUGUGAAAUCUCCGGGCUUAACCCGGAACGGUCAGAUGAUACUGCUUUGCUAGAGUGCAGAAGGGGCAAUCGGAAUUCUUGGUGUAGCGGUGAAAUGCGUAGAUAUCAAGAGGAACACCUGAGGUGAAGACGGGUUGCUGGGCUGACACUGACGCUGAGGCGCGAAAGCCAGGGGAGCAAACGGG
rnacentral:rRNA from 1 species